UACGUAGGGUGCGAGCGUUAAUCGGAAUUACUGGGCGUAAAGCGUGCGUAGGCGGUUCGUUAAGUCAGCUGUGAAAGCCCCGGGCUCAACCUGGGAACUGCGGUUGAAACUGGCGAACUAGAAUCUGGCAGAGGGGGGUGGAAUUCCACGUGUAGCAGUGAAAUGCGUAGAGAUCCGGAAGAACACCGGUGGCGAAGGCGGCCUGCUGGGCAGUGAGCUGACACUGAGGGCGCGGACAGCGUGGGGAGCAAACAGG
rnacentral:rRNA from 1 species